UGGAUUGGUGGUUGGCAGAGGGGGA
rnacentral:piRNA from 1 species